rnacentral:rRNA from 1 species
UACGGAGGGUGCAAGCGUUAUCCGGAAUCACUGGGCGUAAAGCGCACGUAGGCGGAUUGUUAAGUCAGGGGUGAAAUCCUGGAGCUCAACUCCAGAACUGCCUUUGAUACUGGCGAUCUUGAGUCCGGGAGAGGUGAGUGGAACUGCGAGUGUAGAGGUGAAAUUCGUAGAUAUUCGCAAGAACACCAGUGGCGAAGGCGGCUCACUGGCCCGGUACUGACGCUGAGGUGCGAAAGCGUGGGGAGCAAACAGG